GACGAACGCUGGCGGCGUGCCUAAUACAUGCAAGUAGAACGCAGUUGCGAACGGGUGAGUAACGCGUAGGUAACUGCCUCAUAGCGGGGGAUAACUAUUGGAAACGAUAGCUAAUACCGCAUACUGUGAGAUGGACCUGCGUUGUAUUUGCUAGUUGGUGAGGUAAACGCUCACCAAGGCGACGAUACAUAGCCGGCCUGAGAGGGUGAACGGCCAAACUGGGACUGAGACAAGGCCCAGACUCCUUCGGGAGGCAGCAAUAGGGAAUCUUCGGCAAGUGGCGAAAGUCUGACCGAGCAACGCCGGGUGGGUGUAGAAGGUUUUCGGAUCGGAAAGCUCUGUUGUUAGAGAAGCGUUAACUACCCAGAAAGCAACGGCUAACUACGUGCCAGCAGCCGCGGUAAUUC
rnacentral:rRNA from 1 species